UCAAGGAAUCGACCCACUUUCGCAAAUGAUUCUUUUGUUUUGCUCGAUGAUUUAUCGCACGGAAAAAUUGAGUUAUUCUUAAAAUGUGUUGCAGUUACACACUCAGCAUAACUAAUCGGUUGUUGUUCAUAAUCUGCAUAUCCCCAAUUCAAUUCUGAGUAGUUUUUAGUUGCCAGUAUACAGUUUUGAACUAAAUCUCAAUUAUUCAGCUCUGUAUAAAAAUUUUGCUGUUGUUGGAAUUUUAUUUGAAGGGAUAUCGAAGCGAAAAAAAGAAAAAUCAUUUGAGCUUUCUGAUAUGAUGAUGGAGUAACAGUCAAACAUUUUUUUGAUAUUUGCGGUUAAUUUGUUGUAAAAUCAUCAUCAUCUGUCGCUUCUCGUCAAUGGGGCUUUGGAAAUUGCUUCUGUUCGGUGAACGGGUCGGAGAAAAGCUUUUUCGAUAACCAGUCAGACUUAUUUAUAUCAGCGGAAUCUUCCUGCCGUGCAACCCCAGACAGCAUCGGAUUCAAGAGAUCCGGCGUCGGAAAAUUCCGACAGCUACGAGAGGGCAAACGAUAGUGGACUCCAAGGGCAACCAUUCAUCCAACCAAUUUGAAGAGGUAACUGUACUGACUGUUCCAAUCCUCCGGCUAUAAGCGGUUGCAAUCGGUUCCGAUCCGGUCCAGGGAGACAACGGCUGACGCCAAAACCCUUUUGGCAACUGGCUACCAACAAAUAUCGUUCAAUGAACCGGUUUAAAAAUUCAAUAUAAGGGAAAAUCGAUGAUGUGAAGUGGUAAAAGAUAGAACAUCUACUUACAGAGAAAUAAAAUGUUUCAAACCAUAA